rnacentral:rRNA from 1 species
AUUGAACGCUGGCGGCAGGCCUAACACAUGCAAGUCGAACGAGUGGCGGACGGGUGAGUAAUGUCUGGGAAACUGCCCGAUGGAGGGGGAUAACUACUGGAAACGGUAGCUAAUACCGCAUACCAUCUGAUGUGCCCAGAUGGGAUUAGCUAGUAGCUGGGGUAACGGCUCACCUAGGCGACGAUACCUAGCUGGUCUGAGAGGAUGACCAGCAACACUGGAACUGAGACACGGUCCAGACUCCUACGGGAGGCAGCAGUGGGGAAUAUUGCGCAAUGGGCGUAAGCCUGAUGCAGCCAUGCCGAGUGUAUGAAGAAGGCCUUCGGGUUGUAAAGUACUGUCGGAGGAGAGGCGUUACUCGCAGAAGAAGCACCGGCUAACUCCGUGCCAGCAGCCGCGGUAAUUC